AUUGAACGCUGGCGGAAUGCCUAACACAUGCAAGUCGAGCGGCAGCGCGGCCUUCGGUCUGGCGGCGAGCGGCGAACGGGUGAGUAAUGCAUCGGAACAUGCCCAGUCGUGGGGGAUAACACUCCGAAAGAAGUGCUAAUACCGCAUACGUCCUGAGGGGGAAAGCGGGGGAUCGCAAGACCUCGCGCGAUCGGAUGGGCCAAGGUCGGAUUAGCUAGUUGGUGGGGUAAAGGCCUACCAAGGCGACGAUCCGUAACUGGUCUGAGAGGAUGAUCAGCCACACUGGGACUGAGACACGGCCCAGACUCCUACGGGAGGCAGCAGUGGGGAAUUUUGGACAAUGGGGGCAAGCCUGAUCCAGCCAUUCCGCGUGAGUGAAGAAGGCCUUCGGGUUGUAAAGCUCUUUCGGUUGGGACGAAACGGUGGGAGCUAACAUAGUCCGCUUAUGACGGUACCUGAAGAAGAAGCACCGGCUAACUACGUG
rnacentral:rRNA from 1 species